rnacentral:rRNA from 1 species
CUGGUGCCAGCAGCCGCGGUAAUUCCAGCUCCAAUAGCGUAUAUUAAAGUUGCUGACAGUUAAAAGCUCGUAGUUGAAUUUCGGGACUGAUAUGUCGGUCGUGCCUCGGUACGUACUGGUAUUUUUGGUUUCUCCCUUCUGACGAACCUUGAUGUCAUUAAUUUGGUGUCUUGGGAAAUCAGGACUGUUACUUGAAAAAUUAGAGUGUUUAAAGCAGGCUCACGCUUGAAUACAUUAGCAUGGAAUAAUGAAAUAGGACGUUUGAUUCUAUUUUGUUAGGUUUCUAGGAUCGACGUAAUGAUUAAUAGGGAUAGUUGGGGGCAUUAGUAUUCAAUUGUCAGAGGUGAAAUUCUUAGAUUUAUUGAAGACUAACUACUGCGAAAGCAUUUGCCAAGGAUGUUUUCAUUAAUCAAGAACGAAAGUUAGGGGGAUCGAAGACGAUCAGAUACCGUCGUAGUCUUAACCAUAAACUAUGCCGACUAGGGAUCGGAUGAUGUUAAUUUUUUAAUGACUCAUUCGGCGCCUUACG